CGCCCACCCAUCGCCUUUGCCACCCUCGAACGGGCAAAAGAAAGAAAGAGGCAGCCACCCUCGCCCCCGCCAAAACAAACAGACAAAAAACUGUCAUUCUCAUAUGACCACGGACUCUGCGCCCCGGCCGCAGGCGGAGGACAGGGAGGAGCGCACACGAGAAAGCUCCCACGCGCCCGCGCCUCGCCUCCGACGGGAAGGCGCCUCUUCCGACCGUCCUGGAUGCAAAUUAAAUACUUCCCUCCGCAGAAGACUUAUCUCGGGGUAGGGCCGCAGCCGGAUUUCCAAAUCGCGGGUUUGAUUUUCGCUGCGUCCUCUCCGCGACGCGCGCAGGGAGCGCGCCCGGCCACCUGCAGCCUCUGGCUGCGGCCAUCUUUCCGCCUGGGGCCACCUGGCCUGCGCCCUUUGUGCCCGGCCCGCUCCGUGACUGUUCUUCUUGCCGCUACUUACAGAACUCAGCCGCCUUAGCGUCUUAGAGAAGAGGACGGCAUGCAUGCGGACCCCGUCCACCACACCUGGAGAGCAGGGAGCCCUUAGUCCCUGGACACUUACCAGGGCCGCCACCCCUGGUCCACGCACGUGAUGACAUCUCACCAGGGGCAGCACACCGCCCGAGUCCGCGACACUGAUAACACCUCCUGCGGGCAGGAGGGCGCCACAGCCACCCCUGGUCCCCUAGAUUGUGUGAGGCUAGCAUUUCUGCCCGCCUCUUGGCGUGGACAGCACGCUGGACCGAGAUGGAACCACAGCUUUCUCUUCCCAAUCCCUGGCCUCACCGUUUUGUUUCAUACCUCACCGUUUGUUUCAAACCUCGUGGUGUUGAAAUGAUUAAAUGAGAUUAAGGGGCAUUCCUCAGGCCUUAUCUCUCUGGUUCUUUCUGCUACAUUUGACACCUUGGGAUGACUCUCACCUUCUGGAAUCUCUCUACUACCUUGGUUUCAGAAGAGUGAACCCUCUGGAUUAUCACAUGAAGCUACUUCCUGUGAGCAGCCCAGGGAUGGCCAGUCACUUGUGACCUACUUUCAGAGCUGGCAGUUCUGACUUCUAGAACAAACUCGGAACAAGCCCAUCUACAGCUGGUUGACUGAGUUUCCUUUGGGCUCCUGGCACCAGAAAGAAUUGCUCACUGGAAGGAUCAUAGGUGGCACUCAUGUCUCACUGCCCCACUCAGCUUGCCUGUGUGGACUCCUGCCUGCUCUCUGUGCCAGGAUCCCGUGACAUGAAACAGAAUAAGUGCUUCAUAAACGGGAGUGACACUAGGCGUGGUGGCAUGCAUCUGGAGUCCUAGCUACGCGGGAGGCUGAGGCAGGAGGAUUGCCUGAGCCUAGGAGUUGGAGGCUCUAAUGCACUUGGAUAGCACCUAUGAAUAGCCAGUGCCCUCCAACCUGGGCAACAUAGUGAGCUCUUGUCACCAAAAAAAAAAAAAAAAAAGCUAGAAGAGAAUAAUUUGAAUAUUUCUAGCACAAAGAAAAGACAAAUAUUUAAGAUAAUGGAUAGCCCAGUUACACAGAUUUGAUCUUUACAAAUUAUAUGAAUGUAUUAAAUUAUCAUGGCUGGGUGCAGUGGCUCACACUUGUAAUCCCAGCACUUUUGGAGGCUGAGGUGGGUGGAUCAUCUGCGGUCAGGAGUUCCAGACCAGCCUGGCAAACACGGCAAACAUGUACUAAAAAUACAAAAAAUUAGCCAAGUGUGGUGGCAGGCACCUGUAAUCCCAGCAACUCAGGAGGCCGAGGCGGGAGAAUUGCUUGAACCUGGGAGGCAGAGUGCUUGCAGUGAGCCGAGACCGCACCACUGCUUUGUAGCCUGGGCAACAGAGUGAGAUGCCAUUUCAAUAAUAAUAAUAAACUAUCACAUGUAACCCCCAAAUAUGUACAUCAUUGUGUAUCAAUAAAAAUAAAUAAAUGUGAAUAAAUGACUGAGAGUAUGAAUAAUGCCAUCCCUCCAGCGCCCUUGCACUGUGGUUCUCCAGCACCUGCUACUUAGGUUUCUUCAGAUACCAGCUGCUCUGGGAGCUAUACCUUGUUUCAGGAUCUCAGUCACUGCCUUCAGCAGCCCACUAUCUGAUCCAAGCAGCCAUGGAUUCUCUUUUGUAUCCAGUCACUCCUGUACCCUCUUCCCUUUUAGGUUUUGCUACUGUCUUCAAACUUGCUUUGAAGAUUUGAGCUCCUGUGUCACCAGGUCACCCUCAGAGGCAUCAGGACAUGCUCUUCAAGUAAAGUCCAAAUGAGGGAUUAGACACUCUGGGCUUCAUUUCUCAGUGUCCUCUCUCAAGAGCUAGACUAUUACUUGCAUUUCUCAUCUCCUUGAAUCAUCAGCGCCUGGUGCUAUCAUUUAAAAUAGGGAAAGUUAUGAACUGGGUUAAAUUUUUUUUUUUUUUUUGAGAUAGAAUGUCACUUUGUUGCCCAGGCUAAAGUACAGUGGUGCAAUCUUGGUUCACUGCAACCUCCACCUCCCGAGUUCAAGCAAUUCUCCUGCCUCAGCCUCCCAAGUAGCUGGGAUUACAGGUGUUCACCACCAUGCCUGGCUAGUUUUUGUGCUUUUAGUAGAGACAGGGUUUCACCAUGUUGGCCAGGCUGGUCUCGAACUUAUGACCUCAAGUGAUCUGCCCGCCUCAGCCUCCCAAAGUGCUGGGAUUACAGGCGUGAGCCACCACACCCGGCCUCAAAAAAUAUUUUUUUAGAAAGAAAAAAGAAAGAAACAAAAACAAAUAAAAUAGGGAAAGAUGAUUAGUAAGUCUCUUCCUUUCCAGGGCCUUAGUUUUCCUACCUGUAAAAUACAGAGCAUGGUAUUUUUGGAGUCCAUGAAUCCACCAAGCACAGUAUCAUCUUUGCAUGGUGCUUUAAAGUAUAUAAAACAUUUUAGACAAACAAGAUCUUAUUUAACAAAAAAAUGCCCAAUAAAUGUUUGCUAACAGAAAUGAUAAUGCUGAUUCUGUGUGAGCUGAAAGAAGCCUGUUGAAGGUGAAUGUGUCGUCUAUCAUUAAGUCUGAGGACCAAUUAAAGUUAAAACAAGUAUGAGUCACUAAAUGUUAGAAUUAAUUUUGAAUCCCUUAGUUUAAUUCCUACAUGUUGUCAAUGCCUGAGGGAAAUGGUCUAGCCACAGGUGCCAGCUCAUAAGAAACGGGAAGGCCAGGUACGGUGGCUCACACCUGCCAUCCCAUCAUUUUGGGAGGCUGAGGCCAGCAGAUCAUUUGAGGCCAGGAGUUUGAGACCAGCCUGUGCAAUGUAGGGAGAUCUCUACAAAAAAGUAAUUAGCCAGACAUGGUGGUAUGCACCUGCAGUCCCCGCUGUUUGAGAGGCUGAGGCAGGAGGAUCACAUGAGCCUAGAAGUUCGAGGCCGCAGUGAGCUAUGAAUGCACCAUUGCACUCCAGCCUGAGCAAUAGAGUGAGACCUUGCCUCAAAAAUUAAAAAAUAAAAUAAAUAUAAAAAUAAAACAAGAGAGAGAGGGCACCGUCUCUGUGGUACUAUUUGGCUGUGUUACAUAACUGGCAUUUUAUUUGGAAAAAAAAAAUGUCCUCCAAGGGGUUCAUUUCCUCAGAUCAAAUGUCAUUCCAGGUGUUGGUAUGCAUUCGACGCGUGCAUUCUUCAGCCCUGGUUAUUCUGUUUUAUUUUAUGUAAAACUCUAUUUCAAAAUACAG
rnacentral:lncRNA from 10 species